rnacentral:rRNA from 1 species
AGAUUGAACGCUGGCGGCAUGCCUAACACAUGCAAGUCGAACGGGAGUAGCAAUACUCUAGUGGCGGACGGGUGAGGAAUACGUAGGAAUUUGCCCUUAAGUGGGGGAUAACCCGGGGAAACCCGGAUUAAUACCGCAUGACCUCGAAAGAGCAAAGUGGGGGAUCGCAAGACCUCACGCUUUUGGAGAAGCCUACGUCGGAUUAGCUAGUUGGUGAGG